UACGUAGGGGGCAAGCGUUGUCCGGAUUUAUUGGGCGUAAAGAGCGUGUAGGCGGCCAUACAGGUCCGUUGUGAAAACUCGAGGCUUAACCUCGAGACGUCGAUGGAAACCGUAUGGCUAGAGUCCGGAAGAGGAGAGUGGAAUUCCUGGUGGUAGCGGUGAAAUGCGCAGAUAUCAGGAAGAACACCCGUGGCGAAGGCGGCUCUCUGGGACGGUACUGACGCUGAGACGCGAAAGCGUGGGGGAGCGAACAGG
rnacentral:rRNA from 1 species